CAGUGGAUACAGGCACAGGAAGGUUAAGGAACUUACCAAAGAGCCCAGAGCUGCCAUGAGGUGGUCCAGAAUGAUACUCAGGUCAUACUACCUGCCAGCCCUGCCCAAAGCCAAGUUCACCCUUGAACUGUUUUUGCUUGGGUCAUCAAGAAAUGGAACUUCUGUGUAUUUCAAAUCUCUAAGACGAGUUUGCAGAGAUGCUUCUGGGCUCCUUUUCAGUGAUGAUUUAUGCAUGGUAUGGAUUCAUGCUGUUAUCUCAGGAGUGGCUUAGUCAUCAGGAGAAUGGGCUUGUUAUGAAAACGAGUUUGGCCACAUCUCUCUCUUGCUCUCUCUCUCACUGUCUCUUGCCCUUCCAUUCUCUACCAUGUUGUUUAGAACCCUUCAUGGUUUGUUUGUGUGGGCUUCCAGCCUUCCAUUCCUUCCUUCCUUCCUUCCUUCCUUCCUUCCUUCCUUCCUUCCUUCCUUCUUUCUUUCUUUCCUUCUUUCUUUCUUUCUUUCUUUCUUUCUUUCUUUCUUUCUUUCUUUCUUUCUUUCUUUCUUUCUUUCUUUCUUUCUUUCCUCUUUCUCCUCUUCCUCUCCUCCUUCCCUCUCUUCCUCCUUCCUCCCUUCCUUCCUUCCUUCCUUCCCUCUCUUCUCUCCUUUCCCCUUCCCUCCUUCCUUCCCUUCCUUUCACUUCCUUUCACUUCCUUCCACUUCCCUUCCCUUCCUUUCCCUUCCUUUCUCUUCCUUUCCCAUCCCUUCCCUUCUUUCCUUCCUUUCCUUCCUUUCUCUUCCUUUCCUUCUUCCUUCCUUCCUUCCAUUCAUUCCAUUCCAUUCCAUUCCAUUCCAUUCCAUUCCAUUCCAUUCCAUUCCAUUCCAUUCCAUUCCUUCCUUCCAUUCCAUUCCAUUCCAUUCCAUUCCAUUCCAUUCCAUUCCAUUCCAUUCCAUUCCAUUUCCAUUCCUUCCAUUCCUUCCUCCCCUCCAUUCCCUUCCCUUCCCUUCCCUUCCCUUCCCUUCCCUUCCCUUCCCUAUCUUUUAAGACAGAGUCUCACUCUGUUGCCCAGGCUGGAGUGCAACGGCAUGAUCACAGCUCACUGCAGCCUCAACCUCCCAGGCUCAUGUUAUCCGCCUGCCUCAGCAUUCCAGCUCUACUCAAAUGUGACUCAGUUCUCAAUAAGGAUACACCUUGAUGAUGUCUGACCCUGGGCCUCAGUUUCCCUUUCUGCUACAAAUUAUGUCACAGCAUUUGCUGUAAUGAUUACAUUAGAUAAAACACAAAUACACAUUAAAAAAUGUUGCAUGAAUGUUACUUCCCGCUCUCGUGUUCUGUAGAUUAUUUAAUGGAGUUAUAGGAAUAAAAAUGAAAAAACAUCUUUUUAUUUUAAUUGACAGGAUAAAAACAACAGUAUAAGAAACUCUCAUAGAAUGACCUGAACCAGCAGUGAAGCUGGGCUCUGUUAUUAUCAGGAAGGUACCCAAGAGUUAUCUUUAUUGCUCACUUAGGAGUUUUCUUUGCUGUAUGCUGGAAGUUGUAUCUCUUAACUUACAGAGAAGCCCUUUACAACGUGCAAUGAUUGGCAAAAUUAACUUUGAGCAGCUGAACUCGUUGCCAAGGACAAUACAAAUGGGGAGGUAGUUAUUUUUUUCCUCUUGUGAUGUUUUGGGGGCAAUUUACAAUGGAUGAGCAUUUUAUUAAAAAAAGGAAGCCAUGACUUUUCUCUCAUCUGCAAACUCUGCAUAGGUAGCAAAAAGUAACUCCAGUUCAAUGUGCAAACGCUGCAGAUACCAUGCUCUAGAAUUCUACACACGUUAAGUUCAUCUCAUGUAAUUGCCUUCCCAACUCAGAAAGAGAGAAUAAAGAUCCCAAACUGGCUCCUGGAUCAUGUCCAAGAUAUUUCAAAUAUGUGAUAUGACAAAAUAAGAGUGGGGCGUUUUAUUCCUCCAGGGCUUGGAGAAGGGAAAUUCCUGACCACAUAAUUAUAUUCUGACCUCCUGAAAUUUACCCUACCCCUGCACUUUGCAUGGAUAAUGCUAUGCUUUCCCUUCUGAUUGGGGGCUUUGUGCUAUACGGAAAGAGACUUCUCAUUUUGUUCACCUACCCCUGGCUAAAGUGGCUGCUUUCUGCCCUAACAAUGUCAGUCUUCUGUACUGUGUGAAGAUUUAGAGCAUCUGCUGUGUCUGAUGUUAAGUGUGCUCUGAACUUAACAAAUUGCAUUGUAGUAAAUCGACAAAACCCUGUUGAUAUAAAAGCAGACUUCCAUGCCUGAAACACAGGCUGGGAAUCAGGACCCAAUGAACAUGUCAACCGUGCAACUUGUCCAGAUAUAACAGUCUCAAUUUCUAAAGUCGAAUACCAACAGGUAUGGAAAAAGAGAGAGGUAGAAUCCAGCUAAAAUAAGGGUUAACUGUGCUUGCAUUUGGCUGAAUGCAUCUUGUUAAAAUAAUUGCACAGUUAGAUUUGAAUUGUUUUUUCUGUUUGGUUUUGUUUACAUUUGUAUUGUUUUUUCAAGUAGUCCUUUCAUAAGAUAAUUUAUGUCUGUAAUAACAUCCUUAACAAAACUGGCUAACCCAAUUAAAAUAUGAAUUUCAAAAAUAGGUAAAGUAAAACAUAGAUUCUUUGUAUUACUACGAUAGUUUCCGUGAAUAACGCUGGUGACCUCCUGUAAACAAGCUUGCUCUUUCCAGAUCAUAAAAGAUUUCCCAGAAUCAAAAGAAGCACAGACAAGUUGGACUCCAUCUGUGGCUAUUUGGUCCACAGAUGAUUCAGUACUAGGGGCAUUUUAAUUUUUAGGAGACAGUGUCUCUGAUGUUACUCUUAACUUUGCAAUAUGUUCAUAAAUAAAAAUAUUUUAAGAAUAAAGUUGUACUAAUAGAUUGAGUCUCUAAUGUGCCUUAUUUCUAUUCCUCUUCUUCUCCAGUCGGAUUCCUUUCAAUAAAGGUAACCAUCAUGUUCAAUUGAAAGACUAUCCACCCAAAGUUUUUUUUCUUUUUUUUUUUUUUGUUUUCUUGAGACAGGGUCAUGCUCUGUCGCCCAGGCUGCAGUGCAGUGAUGUGAUCACAGCUCACUGCAGCCUUGACCUCCCAGGUUCAAGUGAAGCUCCCACCUCAGCCUCUCGAGUAGCUGGGACUACAGGUGUGUGCAACCAUGCCCAGCUAUUUUUUUUUUCUUUGGCAGUUUUUAUAGAGACAGGGUUUGGCUAUGUUGCUCGGGCUAGUCGUGAACUCCUGGGCUUAACUGAUCUGCCCGCCUUGGUCUCCCAAAGCGCUGGGACUACAGGCUUGAACCAACGCGCCAGACCCGUCCAAACUUUUUAACAGGCUUAUAAAUAUUAAACCUGUUGUGUGUAUAUGUGUGUUUUUUUCCACCUGUGUCUGUUCUACAGCUUACUUUUUUCACUUAAUGAUAUAAUUGUAAGAAGUCAUUCCAUGAUAAAACAUGUUCUCUUGGAGAAACACUACGUUGAGUUACAUGAUAUAAAUGUACCAUAGUGUACCAAGUCAUUUUCUUAUUGAUGGACACUUACGAUGCUUUAAACUGGUUCCUACUAUAAUUAUACAGUGAAAAUCCUUGAAUGUGUCAUUUUGCAUCUGUGACAAGUAGUUUUCUACGGUAGGUACCUAGAAGUGAAAUUUCUGGGUUGAAGGAUAUGCAUAUUUUAAAUUUUAAUAGAAACUGCCAAACUUACCUCCAAAAAUGUACCAGUUGAUACUCCCAUCAGCAGUAUUUAAGAACCUGUUUCCAUACACCUGAGCCAAUGUUUGCUAUUAAUAUUAUUUUAGUAUUUUAUAAACUGAUGAGUGAAAGUGGUAUCUCAUGCUUUUAAUUUGCCUUUUAAUUGGGUUACUAAUUUAGCGACUUUGCAUUUGCCAUGAUCUCUUUGAUCAUGCCUAUAAUAUAAAAUGAGGGCUGGGCACGGUGGCUCAUGCCUAUAAUCCCAGCACUUUGGGGGCCGAGGUGGGUGGAUCACUUGAGGCCAGGAGUUCAAGACCAGCCUGGGCAACAUGGUGAAACCCUGUCUCUACUUAAAAUACAAAAAUUAGCUGGGCAUGCUGGUGUGUGCCUGUAAUCCCAGCUACUCUGGAGACUGAGAUGGGAGAAUUGCUUGAACCUGGGAGGCGGAGGUUGCAGUGAGCCGAGAUCACACCACUGUGCUCUAGCCUGGGCAACAGCGUGAGACUCCAUCUCAAAAAUAAAUAAAUAAAUAAAUAAAUAAAUAAAUAAGAUUGGUACAUGCCUCUAGCACAAAAAGCUCAAGUGCUCAAAGAGUUAUAACAAAAAGAAAGUAUCAGCUCUCUGAUUAUUUCCUUUUUCUGUUCUUUCUCCAAAGACAAAGCCUUUCACACUGUGAUUGUUUCUGCCUCCAUAUUUUAAAAUAAUGUUUAUGCAUUGCUCUUUGGAUUCUUCAUUUUUCUGUUCUAUUUAAUGACUUCUAAGGCAAACCUGCAAGUUUUCUAGCCAAAAUCCAUUCUCCUGUUCUUGCGUAUCACAGUCUUUUAUACAGUAGAUGAUGACAAUGGCACCAGCUAAG
ensembl:lncRNA